AACGAAUUUUAUAUAAUAAAGCAAAUAUAAAGAAAUAUAUUUCAAUUGAUAUUGUAUGUAGCAGUCAAUGUGACAUUUGCUAAAGAUAUAACAAGAACAGAACACAAGUCACAACACAACACAACAAACAUCAAGUUGAUAAUUUAGUCAAUAUGCCACUGGCAUUAAUAAAACCAGGGUGCUGAACCACUAGCUACUGCUACUGGCCUUUGGCCAUGCAAAUCUGCAAGGGUGACGGAACACAUAAUUAUCACCUGCUGAUAUCAACAUGUAAGUGGCAAUCAUAGGUGUAUUCUGUGUGAAGUUCAUACAGAAGAUCAACAGUUAUACCUCGACUUUUAUUGUCAAUUGUAUUGCGAAUUUUGAAAAUCCAUGCCAGAGAUCUUCGUACGAAGAUCUGGGUGGAAAUACUUAAUCCUUUAAGUGGCAAUGCAUCCUACUUUAUUAUUUUACUCUUUCUAAUGCCAGACGAUUUACUCAUCAGGGGAAUGUGCUGCCACAGUGCCACUCAAUGGGUUAAGAGCAAGAUUGUCUGACAUUUGGGGGCAUUGCUAAUCAAUUGGUUAAAAUUCAAUUCAAAAUUUAAAAAAAAUUAAACAAAAAAAAGUUUAAAAAAAUUAACACUGAGAGCAAAAAAAUAAACAAUAUUAAAAAAUAUUUAACACUGAGAGCACGAAUUUAUAAACCUUUCCCUAGAUGUAUACACAGUGGCAUCAUUCUAGUUUUAAUAUUUUGCAAUGCAAAUGUGUCUUGAAUAUCAUUACUUCCAAACAAUAGUUUAUACAGUUGUCUCUUAGUAAAGUUGUACAUGUUCCAUCAGUGUAUUCUCUAGACAGCAGUAAACACAAUCUUUUGCUACAGCAAUACUUCAAAUGUUUGUGACAAUAACUUCGACUUUCUUCUUAUACACGUUUUCAACAUGAUUGAAACCUUUGUCUCACUUGUUAAGACCAAUGGUAAUAAUAAACCAGCUUCGCCAAAUAUCCCGCACUCCUGACAGCUGACAUUCGUCGAAAUUUUCCGCCUUUUUGCUUGUUUAUUUUACUACAAACGCGUCUAAAACUAAGCAGUAUCCCCCUAUAUUUGUUAUUUUAUCCAUCUGAAGCCAAUCGGCACAAGAAAACCGAAAAAUAUUGCCAUUUAAGUGUAAAAACCAUGUUGCUGUAGAACAGUUCUAAACAAUCCCACUCCUCUUUCCUUACUAACAACAUGGCGGCCAAACAUGCGCGGCAUGACAUGCGCAAGGACAAAAACUUCAAAGGUUCCGACCCGAGUGAGAUUACUGUUCAGUCCUUAUACUGUGCUUUAGUUUAGUUUUAAAAGUUUUAAUUUGACGUAUAUUCUGGAGUUCCACAGGCAGACUAUUCCAGUCGUUGGCAGCAUGGUAGCUGAAUGCCUGCUUCCCCCAGUUCUUCUUCACGC